GUUGGUGAACCAGCGGAUGGAUCAUUACCUGAAAAUGCCAAAAGCAAUUUUGGUUGGGCUGACGCUAGUUAGCCUCUGGCUUUGGUUGGUUAAUCAGCCUGCCAGUACUUGUAGUGUGCAAAAGAUGAGAAGUUGGUGUUAAGGCCAACGAGGAGUCGCACGCUUGAUGAGUGAAGGGGUUGUUGGAACGGACGACACUAGUCCAGGCGAGAUGCCUCCUCUACCCCUGAGACUGCCAUUGACUUGACUGAAGCGAUUGUCUCUAAAGAUGACAACUGCUGGCCGUGGAUCACUUGGCUGAC
rnacentral:misc_RNA from 1 species